rnacentral:sRNA from 1 species
AGUGAACUUUGUUUGCAAUGAAAAUCCUUUUUGUAGUUAAAUCCUAAAAGGUUUAAACAUAAAAAGAUUGUAAUAAAUAGCGGGAUUAAGC